AGAGUUCAGAAGUAGUUAACUCAGAAGAGAAAUGUGCCAUCUUCGAACUCUCACUAAGAAGUCCUUUUCUCUGUUCUCCAAAUCAGAUGUGUACAGAAGCGUAAGAAGUUGUUUCCAUCAGUUCUAGAAGAGUUUCAUAUAGCUUUCAAGCAUGUCCUUUAGAAUAAUCACAGUAGUUACUAAGGAAAAGAGAAAAUAAGGCUACACGUCUGCCUGUGAUUAACAUUGUCCUGUACUAUUUUCGGUUGUAGAUCUUGUAUUUUUACUUAAAAGUUCAUCUGUAUGAUGUCUCUUUGUCGGGGCAAACUACUCAGGUUCAUGUACUUCCUUCUUCUUAAAAGCUGUGAAAUCAGUAAUAAUUUCAUUUUAAAGUAAAA